UUAAGCGACUAAGCGUACACGGUGGAUGCCCUGGCAGUCAGAGGCGAUGAAGGACGUGCUAAUCUGCGAUAAGCGUCGGUGAGGUGAUAUGAACCGUUAUAACCGGCGAUUUCCGAAUGGGGAAACCCAGUGUGUUUCGACACACUAUCAUUAACUGAAUCCAUAGGUUAAUGAGGCGAACCGGGGGAACUGAAACAUCUAAGUACCCCGAGGAAAAGAAAUCAACCGAGAUUCCCCCAGUAGCGGCGAGCGAACGGGGAGGAGCCCAGAGCCUGAAUCAGUGUGUGUGUUAGUGGAAGCGUCUGGAAAGGCGUGCGAUACAGGGUGACAGCCCCGUACACAAAAAUGCACAUAUUGUGAGCUCGAUGAGUAGGGCGGGACACGUGGUAUCCUGUCUGAAUAUGGGGGGACCAUCCUCCAAGGCUAAAUACUCCUGACUGACCGAUAGUGAACCAGUACCGUGAGGGAAAGGCGAAAAGAACCCCGGCGAGGGGAGUGAAAAAGAACCUGAAACCGUGUACGUACAAGCAGUGGGAGCCUCUUAAUGGGGUGACUGCGUACCUUUUGUAUAAUGGGUCAGCGACUUAUAUUCUGUAGCAAGGUUAACCGAAUAGGGGAGCCGAAGGGAAACCGAGUCUUAACUGGGCGUUAAGUUGCAGGGUAUAGACCCGAAACCCGGUGAUCUAGCCAUGGGCAGGUUGAAGGUUGGGUAACACUAACUGGAGGACCGAACCGACUAAUGUUGAAAAAUUAGCGGAUGACUUGUGGCUGGGGGUGAAAGGCCAAUCAAACCGGGAGAUAGCUGGUUCUCCCCGAAAGCUAUUUAGGUAGCGCCUCGUGAAUUCAUCUCCGGGGGUAGAGCACUGUUUCGGCAAGGGGGUCAUCCCGACUUACCAACCCGAUGCAAACUGCGAAUACCGGAGAAUGUUAUCACGGGAGACACACGGCGGGUGCUAACGUCCGUCGUGAAGAGGGAAACAACCCAGACCGCCAGCUAAGGUCCCAAAGUCAUGGUUAAGUGGGAAACGAUGUGGGAAGGCCCAGACAGCCAGGAUGUUGGCUUAGAAGCAGCCAUCAUUUAAAGAAAGCGUAAUAGCUCACUGGUCGAGUCGGCCUGCGCGGAAGAUGUAACGGGGCUAAACCAUGCACCGAAGCUGCGGCAGCGACACUAUGUGUUGUUGGGUAGGGGAGCGUUCUGUAAGCCUGUGAAGGUGGCCUGUGAGGGUUGCUGGAGGUAUCAGAAGUGCGAAUGCUGACAUAAGUAACGAUAAAGCGGGUGAAAAGCCCGCUCGCCGGAAGACCAAGGGUUCCUGUCCAACGUUAAUCGGGGCAGGGUGAGUCGACCCCUAAGGCGAGGCCGAAAGGCGUAGUCGAUGGGAAACAGGUUAAUAUUCCUGUACUUGGUGUUACUGCGAAGGGGGGACGGAGAAGGCUAUGUUGGCCGGGCGACGGUUGUCCCGGUUUAAGCGUGUAGGCUGGUUUUCCAGGCAAAUCCGGAAAACCAAGGCUGAGGCGUGAUGACGAGGCACUACGGUGCUGAAGCGACAAAUGCCCUGCUUCCAGGAAAAGCCUCUAAGCAUCAGGUAACAUCAAAUCGUACCCAAAACCGACACAGGUGGUCAGGUAGAGAAUACCAAGGCGCUUGAGAGAACUCGGGUGAAGGAACUAGGCAAAAUGGUGCCGUAACUUCGGGAGAAGGCACGCUGAUAUGUAGGUGAAGCGACUUGCUCGUGGAGCUGAAAUCAGUCGAAGAUACCAGCUGGCUGCAACUGUUUAUUAAAAACACAGCACUGUGCAAACACGAAAGUGGACGUAUACGGUGUGACGCCUGCCCGGUGCCGGAAGGUUAAUUGAUGGGGUUAGCGGUAACGCGAAGCUCUUGAUCGAAGCCCCGGUAAACGGCGGCCGUAACUAUAACGGUCCUAAGGUAGCGAAAUUCCUUGUCGGGUAAGUUCCGACCUGCACGAAUGGCGUAAUGAUGGCCAGGCUGUCUCCACCCGAGACUCAGUGAAAUUGAACUCGCUGUGAAGAUGCAGUGUACCCGCGGCAAGACGGAAAGACCCCGUGAACCUUUACUAUAGCUUGACACUGAACAUUGAGCCUUGAUGUGUAGGAUAGGUGGGAGGCUUUGAAGUGUGGACGCCAGUCUGCAUGGAGCCGACCUUGAAAUACCACCCUUUAAUGUUUGAUGUUCUAACGUUGGCCCGUAAUCCGGGUUGCGGACAGUGUCUGGUGGGUAGUUUGACUGGGGCGGUCUCCUCCUAAAGAGUAACGGAGGAGCACGAAGGUUGGCUAAUCCUGGUCGGACAUCAGGAGGUUAGUGCAAUGGCAUAAGCCAGCUUGACUGCGAGCGUGACGGCGCGAGCAGGUGCGAAAGCAGGUCAUAGUGAUCCGGUGGUUCUGAAUGGAAGGGCCAUCGCUCAACGGAUAAAAGGUACUCUGGGGAUAACAGGCUGAUACCGCCCAAGAGUUCAUAUCGACGGCGGUGUUUGGCACCUCGAUGUCGGCUCAUCACAUCCUGGGGCUGAAGUAGGUCCCAAGGGUAUGGCUGUUCGCCAUUUAAAGUGGUACGCGAGCUGGGUUUAGAACGUCGUGAGACAGUUCGGUCCCUAUCUGCCGUGGGCGCUGGAGAACUGAGGGGGGCUGCUCCUAGUACGAGAGGACCGGAGUGGACGCAUCACUGGUGUUCGGGUUGUCAUGCCAAUGGCACUGCCCGGUAGCUAAAUGCGGAAGAGAUAAGUGCUGAAAGCAUCUAAGCACGAAACUUGCCCCGAGAUGAGUUCUCCCUGACUCCUUGAGAGUCCUGAAGGAACGUUGAAGACGACGACGUUGAUAGGCCGGGUGUGUAAGCGCAGCGAUGCGUUGAGCUAACCGGUACUAAUGAACCGUGAGGCUUAACCUU
rnacentral:rRNA from 1 species